rnacentral:rRNA from 1 species
CAAGACGACCCGCUAGACUUAAGCAUAUUAAUCAGCGGAGGAAAAGAAACUAACAAGGAUUCCCCUAGUAACUGCGAGUGAAGAGGGAAGAGCUCAAUGUGUGAAUCUGGCGGGAGUAACGCCUGGUUCGAAUUGUGCACUAUUGACGCUGGAUCAGCGCACGGAAGCUCGCGGCGGAUGUCCGAUGAAACACGGCACCAUAGCGGGUCACAGUCCUGUACACGCCCAUCGAGCGCUCGCGCAUAUGACCAGUGUUCUUCGAGUCGCGUAGUUUUGUAUUGCUGCGCCAAUCGGGAGGUAGAGCCCUUCUAAAGCUAAAUAUUAUGGCAUGACCGAUAGCAAACAAGUACCGUGAGGGAAAGGUGAAAAGCAACCAUGCAGAAUGGGUUGAAAGAGAAGUGAAAGUGCUACCGGGAUAAGGGCUAUUGAUUUCAAGUGCGGAUCGCGUGUGCUUCAGUGCUACGCUUACCGCCGUCAUGCAUCGAUUGGGGACCGGGGAGAACAGGGUCGGUGGGAAUUCGGCUCGGUCU